CCCUUAGAUGUUCUGGGCCGCACGCGCGCUACACUGUUCGACGCAGCGAGUCUUAACCUUGACCGAAAGGUUUGGGUAAUCUUCAGCAAAGUCGAACGUGAUGGGGAUCGAUCAUUGCAAUUAUUGAUCGUGAACGAGGAAUUCCUAGUAAGUGCAAGUCAUCAGCUUGCGCUGAUUACGUCCCUGCCCUUUGUACACACCGCCCGUCGCUACUACCGAUUGAAUGGUUUAGUGAGAUCUCUGGAUUGACGCUGGCUAGAGGGCGACCCUUGGCCAGGCUGUCGAGAAACUGCUCAAACUUGAUCAUUUAGAGGAAGUAAAAGUCGUAACA
rnacentral:rRNA from 1 species